rnacentral:rRNA from 1 species
AACGAACGCUGGCGGCGUGGAUAAGACAUGCAAGUCGAACGCUAAUUUUUCAGUAGCAAUAUUGGAAAGUUGGAGUGGCGCAAGGGUGCGUAACACGUGGGUAAUCUACCGCGAAGACCGGAAUAACCUGCUGAAAAGUGGGCUAAUGCCGGAUGUGGUUUACGGGGGGCAUCCCCUGAAUCCUGAAGUUGGGGACCGAAAGGCCUAACACUUUGCGAUGAGCCCGCGGCCUAUCAGCUAGUUGGUGAGGUAAAGGCUCACCAAGGCUAAGACGGGUAGCUGGUCUGAGAGGACGACCAGCCACACUGGAACUGAGACACGGUCCAGACACCUACGGGUGGCAGCAGUCGAGAAUUUUUCACAAUGGGGAAACCCUGAUGGAGCGACGCCGCGUGGGGGAUGAAGGGGCUUCGGCUCGUAAACCUCUGUCACCGGGGAAGAACGCUAUGCGAUAAUAUCGCCUAGCCUGACUUAACCCGGAGAGGAAGCAGUGGCUAACUCUGUGCCAGCAGCCGCGGUAAUC